UACGUAGGUGGCAAGCGUUGUCCGGAUUUAUUGGGUUUAAAGGGUGCGUAGGCGGCCUUAUAAGUCAGUGCUGAAAUAUCCCGGCUUAACCGGGAGGGUGGCAUUGAUACUGUAGGGCUUGAGUGUAGUCGAGGUAGGCGGAAUUGACGGUGUAGCGGUGAAAUGCGUAGAUAUCUGGAGGAACACCGGUGGCGAAGGCGGCAUCCUGGACCAACACUGACGCUGAGUGAGCGAAAGCCAGGGGAGCAAACGGG
rnacentral:rRNA from 1 species